rnacentral:misc_RNA from 1 species
AAGUCGUAACAAGGUUUCCGUAGGUGAACCUGCGGAAGGAUCAUUAACACGUAUCCAACGUUAAACCCCCCGUGAACCUUCAGUGCGCUCGCACUUUCUUAGAAAAGGUAGCAAUGACUGUGCUUGAGCGUGAGGCAAGUGGCCUGGCAUUCCUCUGCUUGUUGGUGUCUGAAAGUGUCACCAGCUCUGUACGAAUGGCGCAGUCACGAUCGCUAGAGGCCGACACGGCCGGCGACCGGGUCACUGGGCGCGAGCCCCCCUCGUCACCUUUGCAUGAAAACGGGCCUGCGCUUAAUUGUGCGGCCACCAAACUCGAACAACUGUUAACAAUGGAUAUCUUGGUUCUC